rnacentral:pre_miRNA from 1 species
CUACUACUCCCUUCGUCCGGAAAUACUUGUCAUCAAAAUGAAUAAAAGGGGAUGUAUCUAGAUGUAUAUUAGUUCUAGAUACAUCCCUUUUUAUCUAUUUUGAUGACAAGUAUUUUCGGACGGAGAGAGUACCUU